rnacentral:rRNA from 1 species
UACAGAGAUGUCAAGCGUUGUUCGGACCUACUGGGCGUAAAGGGCGCGCAGGCGGUGACGUAAGUCUGGAGUGAAAUCCCUCGGCUCAACCGGGGAACUGCUUUAGAAACUGCGUUGCUGGAGUGUUGGAGGGGAGAGUGGAACUCCUGGUGGAGCGGUGAAAUGCGUAGAUAUCAGGAGGAACGCCGGAGGCGAAGGCGACUCUCUGGCCAACCACUGACGCUGAGGCGCGAAAGCUAGGGGAG